rnacentral:rRNA from 1 species
CACGUAGGAGGCGAGCGUUGUCCGGAAUCAUUGGGCGUAAAGAGCGCGCAGGCGGCUUGACAAGUCGGGUGUGAAAUCCCGGGGCUCAACCCCGGGACUGCAUUCGAUACUGUCAGGCUAGAGGUAGGUAGGGGAGAUCGGAAUUCCUGGUGUAGCGGUGAAAUGCGCAGAUAUCAGGAGGAACACCGGUGGCGAAGGCGGAUCUCUGGGCCGAUACUGACGCUGAGGAGCGAAAGCGUGGGGAGCAAACAGG